AUACAGAGGGUGCGAGCGUUAAUCGGAAUUACUGGGCGUAAAGCGCGCGUAGGCGGUCUAUUAAGUCAGAUGUGAAAUCCCAGGGCUCAACCUUGGAACUGCAUCUGAUACUGGUAGACUAGAGUUUUGGAGAGGGGAGUAGAAUUUCAGGUGUAGCGGUGAAAUGCAUAGAGAUCUGAAGGAAUACCAGUGGCGAAGGCGACUUCCUGGCCAAAAACUGACGCUGAGGUGCGAAAGCGUGGGUAGCAAACGGGAUUAGAAACCCUAGUAGUCC
rnacentral:rRNA from 1 species